ensembl:lncRNA novel transcript
GAAGGAGUUUAGGACUCUGGACUACCUAUAGUCCACUGCCAGCCUUGAGCUUGAACUAUGUGUGAUCCAUGCUUAUCCACCCAUGUUCUGACCAAUCACAGUGCUGGCUUCAGGCUACAGCACCUGAGGGAGUGGAGGUAACCCCAGACAUCACUUACUCAUGGGACCGUUACUGUUGGCAUCCAGAACAGUCAUCCUAUUCCUUCUGCAGGCUCUGUACCAUAUUUAGACAAUCUACCAGGUGGCUGCAACUAUCUCCCCUGAGGCUUCCAAGACCACUGCUCCACACAGUAAGGGGGCCUUCCCAUUAAUGUUCUUUAUUGCCUCCAAUUGAUGUGGUCACAUCAUGAAAUUCUGGAUAGAUUUAGGCCAUGCUGGUCAAAGGACAGACUUUUUUGUACAAAUAGGACCAUUUUUCUCACUUAGUGCCUUCCUCCUUUUCUACCCUUCUAGCUAGUGGAAGUGAGUGGAAGGUACGGAUGCAGACAACAUUGAAAGAGAUCACAUUCUAGGAAUGCAAUGUUACAGCCCAAUUAGUUCAUGAGAAAGCAUGGUUGGAAGAUAUAUUGUUUCUAUUUGUAUGCUAUAGAAUUCUGAACGGUAAACUUAACAUGAUCAGGGAAUAAGUUAUUCCUCACAUUUUCUGCAUCCUCUGGGUAAGACUUACAAUCGUGGUCAUCAUCAAUGAAGCACAAAAACAGCCUUUGAGAGAAUUACUGGAAACCAAUAUCUACAAACAGUGCAAUGGAUGAUGAAGUGACACAAGUCCUAUUAUAACUAGACUUUUACAAAAUGGUACUAGGGAAGCUCAGAAGCAAGAUCAUCAAUAUUAUAUCAAUAUAUACAAGUUCUGAAGAGUCAUGGCAGAGAGAGGAUAACAAAGGAAGCUGAGGAAGUCUGUUCUGGAGGCACCAUGACAAAGCACCAGACAGAAAGCAGUCACGUGUGGGGAGAUGAGCAGAGACACCACUUCUCAAGCACCUGAUUAUUCUUUCUCAGUAUUUAGAAGCAAAAAUUAUCCUUAAGAAAAACAACCGCAAACGCAACACAGGCUACACAGAUGAGAAAAUGGGGCUUGCAGAGCUCAAACCAUUACACCAUUCAGAAGCUGGCUUUGGUAUUACUUCAAGUUAUUCAAAACAGUCACCACUUGCUGAGCCUCUGAUGUCUCAUCUGUUGAAUGGAUUUCAAGAGAGAAGGCUGAAAAGGAAGGUGACUGGAAUAUUAAGAACUGUGAGAUAUUCUGAGGAAACUCUAAUUUGUAAAUUGGUAGAAAUGCCAGUAAUUUGUUGGGAAUUGAAGACCCUCUGUAUUCAAGAGCGAAGCUUGGCAGCUGUGCACUGUUGUUUUAUAAAUCAAUAUUACAUCUG